UUAAAGAAUUUAGAGACUUCAGCUUGUAAAUUUGAAAAAUUUGAAGACUUUGACUUGCAUGCUUGAAGAAUUUGAAGACUUCAACU
rfam:Solanum lycopersicum cultivar Heinz 1706 chromosome 1, whole genome shotgun sequence.